rnacentral:rRNA from 1 species
AACGAACGCUGGCGGCAGGCUUAACACAUGCAAGUCGAACGGGUGUAGCAAUACAUCAGUGACAGACGGGUGAGUAACACGUGGGAACCUUCCUCGGGGUACGGAACGACUCCGGGAAACUUGAGCUAAUACCGUAUACGUACGUGAGGAGAAAGAUUUAUCGCCUUGAGACGGGCCCGCGUCGGAUUAGCUAGUUGGUGUUGUAACGGCCUACCAAGGCGCCGAUCCGUAGAUGAUCUUAGAGGAUGAUCAGCCACACUGGGGCUGAGACACGCCCCAAACUCCUACGGGAGGCAGCAGUGGGGAAUCUUGGAAUAUGCGCGCAAGACUGAUCCACCCAUGCCGCGUGAGUGAAGAAGGUCUUCGGAUUGUAAAGCUCUUUUGCCAGGGACGAUAAUGACGGUACCUGUAGAAUAAGCCCCGGCAAACUUCGUGCCAGCCGCCGCAGUAAGAC